GGUAUGAAGCAAGCCUUCCUGCUGCUCAGUAAAAAGAUGUGGACCUGUCAAAACCACUCUUCACUACAGCUGCUUUGAACGCUGCAUGCGAAUGUUUGAAGAUCAAAGUGGAUAGGAAGCUGUUAGCAUCAUCUGGUGCUAAAAAGGGAAUCUUUGACAGGCUGUGCACCCAGCUCCAGAAACUGGGACAGGACAUCUGCAAAGAAGCCACUCCACUGAAGAAUCUAGUUAAAAUGGCACAGAAAAGACUAACACUCAUAGAAUAUAGAACAAAGAGGAAGGUAAGUGUGACCAAAUAAUAACCAGACCAAAUUCCUGAUUAUGUCCUUAGAAAAGUGUAACUCUUAAUCUUUGCUGUAUUGCGGGGUUAAAACUGUGUUGGGGGGGAAUAUGUUGUGCUGUCUAUCAAGGCCGACGUCUCAAAAGCAGCAGAAAGAGGACUCUGAGGAGUGCACUACACAGGAUUACGAAGAGUGGAAGCCGAAGAAUCUUGGAAAAUGCACUUAAAGCCAAUACAUAAGUUAAUUUGAUAGCCAGCUCAGCCAUAAAGUGGAAAUGUUUUCACGACCUUGGGCUUGUGAUCAGUGAAAAUGCUGUCUACAGUGCUGAGUAGUGAGGCUGGAGCUCUUGUUUUCUUUGCAUGUGAACUCUUAAUGAGCAGGUACACGUCUAGUAAUGAAGCACAUGCGCUUACUUCAGCUUUUGGAGAAAGUUACCUGAAAGGUGUUUUUAUUAGUUUUAUUUUUUUAUCAUUGUUUAUUGUUUCAACCAUGCUUGUUUUAUGCUAUAAGCCUUAGCCUUCUAAGCAAGCAUGAUGUGUUUGUAUUCCAUACAGUACUUUGCCUUUUCUGCCCCUCAGUGGCGGUGUAUGAGACUUACUUUAAGAGAAUUCUGCUGUGCUGUUGCUGGUCAAUGUGUUGGAUUUGUACAGUUAAGAUUAACAUUCUGUGGCCUUUUGGCGUUCACAAUUUAUGGUGGACGAUAGACAGUCUUACCAGUUGGGAUUAGCAACUGUUUUUAUUUAGACAGACCACAGUAUGAGUUGGAAAUGGUUCUAAUAGUUUUUUUUUCACCAUUCAUUUUUCCAUUUAGGAUUUUAGAACUACUUCCUAUGUUUUGAUAACCACACAUCUCUCUCAUCAAUAAUUAGCAUUGCGAAUGAGUAAAUUGCGGUGACUAUAUUACUGACUCCCCUCUGUGAGAAUUACACAGCUAUCAAAACGUCACGCCAAGGUAAGCCUAUAUCUAACACACAAUUUAAUUAGAAUUGUCAUUCAAGUGGCGCAGCGGUCUAAAGCACUGCAUCUCAGUGCUAGAGGUGUCACUACAGACCCUGGUUUGAUUUCAGGCUGUAUCACAACCGUCUGUGAUUGGGAGUCCCAUAGGGCGGUGCAUAAUUGGCAAGGCAUCAUCCGAGUUAGGGUUUGGCCGUCAAUGGAAAUAAGAAUUUCUUCUUAACUGACUUGCCUAGUUAAAUUUUUUACAUUCACAAUGUGAAAAAUGAAUGGUGGAAAAACCAAAAACCAUUUGUGUUUAUGGGUGUUAUGGCAAUUCCACUGUGCCAGACUAUUGACAAUAGUAUAAGUCUGGCCAUUUGUAGCUUCAAUUAUUUUAAUGAAUUAACAUUUAUAGUCAUUGAGUUAUUCUUGAUGAGUUCAAGUGGAGGUGGGGACACUCACAAAAUAAUGCUAUAUGGGAACACUACUGUCAGUCAGGUUGGGUAGCAUGCAAGCAAGUAGCCCAUUCAAAGCCUUCAUAGAAGGAAAGAUUGACAAGACAAGGUCAUCUGUGUCAUUUGUAAAGAUUCACUUACCAUAUUAAAUAAACCAAAAAUGAAAGCCUUGUGAA